AAAAUGCUGACAACAGCAUCACAUUUACAGACAGAUGAACAUCAAUGAACAAUAUGCUGACAACAGCAUCACAUAUACAGACAAACAUAUUGAACAAUAUGCUGACAACAGCAUCACAAUUACAGACAGAUGAACAUCAUUGAACAAUGUCAGCACUUACAAUCGCUCCACAAACAUAUUGAAAAACAAAAUGCAGUUGUUUUUUUCUACACACAAGAAAGCAACUAGAUUUUUAAAAAAAUAAAUACAACUGGAAUAAAUGUUAAAUUUAUGAUCUAGACUCUUUUGUCAUAAGAAUAAAUAUACAACCAAAAAUAUGUAUAAAUAGAUAACUCUUUUUUUCAAUACAUACAUCUUCUUAA